GAUGAACGCUGGCGGCGUGCCUAAUACAUGCAAGUCGAGCGAACAGACGAGGAGCUUGCUCCUCUGACGUUAGCGGCGGACGGGUGAGUAACACGUGGAUAACCUACCUAUAAGACUGGGAUAACUUCGGGAAACCGGAGCUAAUACCGGAUAAUAUAUUGAACCGCAUGGUUCAAUAGUGAAAGACGGUUUUGCUGUCACUUAUAGAUGGAUCCGCGCCGCAUUAGCUAGUUGGUAAGGUAACGGCUUACCAAGGCAACGAUGCGUAGCCGACCUGAGAGGGGGGGCCGCCACAAGGGGACUGGGACCGGGGACAGGCCUACAGCGGGGGGGAGAAGGGGGAAUCUGCCGCAAAGGGGCGAAAGCAGGACGGGACACGCGGGGGGGAGGAAGAAGGGUUUCGGGAACUAAAACCUUUUUAUUGGGGAAAAAAAAAAUGGAAAAUAAAAUAGGCCGUUUUGGAGGUAACUAAACAAAAAGCCCCGGCAAAAUGCGGGC
rnacentral:rRNA from 1 species